rnacentral:rRNA from 1 species
GUCGAACGCUGAAGCUCCAGCUUGCUGGGGUGGAUGAGUGGCGAACGGGUGAGUAAUACGUGAGUAACCUGCCCUUGACUCUGGGAUAAGCCUGGGAAACCGGGUCUAAUACUGGAUACGACGUCCUACCGCAUGGUGGGGCGUGGAAAGGGUUUUACUGGUUUUGGAUGGGCUCACGGCCUAUCAGCUUGUUGGUGGGGUAAUGGCCUACCAAGGCGACGACGGGUAGCCGGCCUGAGAGGGUGACCGGCCACACUGGGACUGAGACACGGCCCAGACUCCUACGGGAGGCAGCAGUGGGGAAUAUUGCACAAUGGGCGGAAGCCUGAUGCAGCGACGCCGCGUGAGGGAUGACGGCCUUCGGGUUGUAAACCUCUUUCAGCAGGGAAGAAGCCACAAGUGACGGUACCUGCAGAAGAAGCGCCGGCUAACUACGUGCCAGCAGCCGCGGUAAUACGUAGGGCGCAAGCGUUGUCCGGAAUUAUUGGGCGUAAAGAGCUCGUAGGCGGUUUGUCGCGUCUGCUGUGAAAGCCCGGGGCUCAACCCCGGGUCUGCAGUGGGUACGGGCAGACUAGAGUGCAGUAGGGGAGACUGGAAUUCCUGGUGUAGCGGUGAAAUGCGCACAUAUCAGGAGGAACACCGAUGGCGAAGGCAGGUCUCUGGGCUGUUACUGACGCUGAGGAGCGAAAGCAUGGGGAGCGAACAGGAUUAGAUACCCUGGUAGUCCAUGCCGUAAACGUUGGGCACUAGGUGUGGGGGACAUUCCACGUUCUCCGCGCCGUAUCUAACGCAUUAAGUGCCCCGCCUGGGGAGUACGGCCGCAAAGCUAAAACUCAAAGGAAUUGACGGGGGCCCUCACAAGCGGCGGAGCAUGCGGAUUAUUUCGAUGCAUCGCGAAGAACCUUACCAAGGCUUGACAUCCGCCGGACCGCACUGGAAACAGUGCUUCCCUUCGGGGCUGGUGAACAGGGGGUGCAUGGCUGGUCGUCACCUCUUGUCG